AUGAGCUUCAUUAAGAGAUUUUUGGAGGAGCUAGAUAUAGCUAACUCACACAAACCCGGGGCAUUUCAAGGACGAGCGGUCCGGCCGAGAGCUAAAGUGUGGUUACCGCCUCCGGGCGAGGCUGCAAAGUUUAACUGUGAUGGGGGCCUGUCAAAUUUAGGAGACAAAGGUGCAGCGGGAGUUGUAUGCCGUGACAAAUUUAGGAAAUUCUUGGGUGCUUCAGCGUUGGUCUUUGAUGGCCUCACCGACCCGACAAGUUUGGAGGCACAAGCGUGCAGCGUGGCACUAGCCCUCGCUCGGGAUUUAAAUUUGCAGGAUAUUGCCAUUGCCUCAGAUUGUGUAGAGGUGAUAUCGAACAUCAAAUCUGGAGGCUCUCCAUCUUAUGCUCCUAUCCUUAGAGAGAUUCAAACUAGUAGCAAUAAUUUUUCUUUUGUUGAAUUCCGUUUCGAGAGUAGAGACAAAAAUUUUGAGACCCACUCCUAG
rnacentral:rRNA from 1 species